ACUCCUACGGGAGGCAGCAGUAGGGAAUCUUCCACAAUGGGCGCAAGCCUGAUGGAGCAACACCGCGUGAGUGAAGAAGGGUUUCGGCUCGUAAAGCUCUGUCGUUAAAGAAGAACACGUAUGAGAGUAACUGUUCAUACGUUGACGGUAUUUAACCAGAAAGUCACGGCUAACUACGUGCCAGCAGCCGCGGUAAUACGUAGGUGGCAAGCGUUAUCCGGAUUUAUUGGGCGUAAAGAGAGUGCAGGCGGUUUUCUAAGUCUGAUGUGAAAGCCUUCGGCUUAACCGGAGAAGUGCACCGGAAACUGGAUAACUUGAGUGCAGAAGAGGGUAGUGGAACUCCAUGUGUAGCGGUGGAAUGCGUAGAUAUAUGGAAGAACACCAGUGGCGAAGGCGGCUACCUGGUCUGCAACUGACGCUGAGACUCGAAAGCAUGGGUAGCGAACAGGAUUAGAUACCCCUGGUAGGAUAGCG
rnacentral:rRNA from 1 species